GUUUCUUCGGAAGCGAGUAGAGUGGCGCACGGGUGAGUAACACGUAGAUAACCUGCCCUUCAGUCCGGGACAACCUUCUGAAAAGGGGGCUAAUACUGGAUAAUACUUAUAGAUGAGUGUUUUUAAGUUAAAAGAUUUAUUGCUGGGGGAUGGGUCUGCGCACCAUUAGCUAGUUGGGGGGGUAACGGCCCACCAAGGCUACGAUGGUUAGCGGGUCUGAGAGGAUGGUCCGCCACACUGGAACUGAGACACGGUCCAGACUCCUACGGGAGGCAGCAGUGGGGAAUUUUGCGCAAUGGGCGUAAGCCUGACGCAGCAAUACCGCGUGAGUGAAGAAGGCCUUUGGGUCGUAAAGCUCUUUUUUCAGGGAAGAUAAUGACGGUACCUGAAGAAUAAGCGCCGGCUAACUCCGUGCCAGCAGCCGCGGUAAUACGGAGGGCGCGAGCGUUGUUCGGAUUUACUGGGCGUAAAGGGCGCGUAGGCGGCAUAACAAGCUAAGGGUGAAAUCCCGGGGCUCAACUCCGGAACUGUUCUUAGAACUGUUAAGCUAGAGAUAGUUAGAGGCGGGUGGAAUUCCUGGUGUAGAGGUGAAAUUCGUAGAUAUCAGGAGGAACACCGGAGGCGAAGGCGACCCGCUGGGACUAUUCUGACGCUGAUGCGCGAAAGCGUGGGGAGCGAACGGGAUUAGAUACCCCGGUAGUCCACGCCGUAAACGAUGAAUACCGGCUGUUUGGGAAAUCGACCUUCCAAGUGGCGCAGCUAACGCGAUGAGUAUUCCGCCUGGGGAUUACGGUCGCAAGACUAAAACUCAAAGGAAUUGACGGGGGCCCGCACAAGCGGUGGAGCAUGUGGUUUAACUCGACGCAACGCGAAGAACCUUACCUGGGUUUGACAUCCCCUGCUAGUCACAGAGAUGUGAUUUUCUCUUCGGAGACAGGGUGACAGGUGCUGCAUGGCUGUCGUCAGCCCUGUCGUGAGAUGUUGGGUUAAGUCCCGCAACGAGCGCAACCCUUGUCCUUAGUUGCCAGCGAUUCGGUCGGGAACUCUAAGGAGACUGCCGGUGUUAAGCCGGAGGAAGGUGGGGAUGACGUCAAGUCCUCAUGGCCUUUAUAUCCAGGGCUACACACGUGCUACAAUGGUGACUACAAAGAGUCGCGAAGCCGCGAGGUGGAGCUAAUCUCAAAAAAGUCAUCUCAGUUCGGAUUGCAAUCUGCAACUCGGUUGCAUGAAGUUGGAAUCGCUAGUAAUCGUAGAUCAGCGCGCUACGGUGAAUACGUUCCCGGGCCUUGUACACACCGCCCGUCACACCAUGGGAGUUGACAUUAGCAGAAUACAUUGAGCUAACUUUCGAGAGGCAGGUGUAGAAGCUAGUGUUGAUGACUGGGGUGAAGUCGUAACAAGGUA
rnacentral:rRNA from 1 species